GGGUCAUUAGCUCAGUUGGUAGAGCAGUUGACUUUUAAUCAAUUGGUCGCAGGUUCGAAUCCUGCACGACCCACCA
rnacentral:tRNA from 7 species